GAUGGAGAAGCAGGGCACGUGCAUUACUAACUCAUCUCUUAGUCCACGUAUAUACACUCUCCCCAAAUGCAUGUAUAUGAUAGAGAUGUGUGAAGUGUGUUGAGUUAGUUCUUCAUGUGCCCAUCUUCCCCAUC
rnacentral:pre_miRNA from 2 species